CAGGCGUGAGCCACCGCACCUGGCUUGCAAAUUUCUAUUUCUAAUUGAGCCAGCAUUUCUUCCCAAAGGUUCACUGGAAAAUCACUGACAUGAAGAAGAUUGAUUAAUAGGAAAAAAGGCAUACACAUUUAUUUAAUGUGUAUACACAGGAGCCUUCAGAAUGAAGACCCAAAGAUAGAGGGGAAAUUGUCCACUUUUACACUUAGGUUCAAGACAGUAUGGAUAGUCACAUAGAAAUAUGACUGGACAAAAAGGGUCUGAUGGAAUGCUAGACUAGACUGAGUAGAAAGCGCAGCAAGGCCUGUCUGCCUAGAUUCUUCCAGGCAUCCAUGCCGCAUUCCUUCCUUCUGGGUAUGGGACAGGAUCCUUUCUGGAGUGGGGGUCUUAUGACCUACAGUCAAAUAAGAUAGGUUAGAUGAGGUCUUUAUGGCCAGUUUUUACACAGAAAGGUGGAAGGAAAGCUAGAGUUGUAUUUUAGGUUUUAUGGCUGGCUUUGGGGAAAAGGGGUUCUGGUUUUUAUAUCCGCCUUGGGGAAGAGGGAUUCUGGUUUCUAUGGCUGGCCUCGGGGAGAAUGAGGGGCAAGAGAUAGGAGGGCAGGAGAAGAUCAGAGAAAAACUUUUGCUUCUGAGGCUAAGCCUUCCUUUUGGGGUAUUGUUUUCUGAGUCCCAACACUUGUUAUUUGGAACAACUCAUUAGAAUGUAGGGACUGGGGCUAUGUCAUGUAUUAACAUCUCCCAGGGAGCUGUCAGCCUCCCUCAGCAAAUGCUUCCUGAAUGCAUGAAUGAACCAAUGAGUGUUGGCCAUGCAAAGUCAGUAGUUUUCUGCCAACCCCAUGAGUUCCACCAGUCGUCUCCAGAGAUUCCUUGCAAAGAACUUGGUACUGGGGCAUGUACUUAUAAUGUCUCCUUCUUUUUCCUUCUAUUCUAUCAUCCUGUGUCUUGUCCAGCCUCCAGGAGUUCAGUGAGAAAGGAAACACACACACACACACUACAAAAACCAGGAGAAAAAAACCAUUAAAAAAUCCCACUGUAGGAAGAUUCUGCUGCCUCUAGACUUUAGGAAAGCCGCUGACCUAAUUCAUUUGCUAUGGUGGCUUUUUCAUCCUCAGGACUGGUGCUGCCUGUGUAGUUCAGCCUGUGAAGGCUCCCUUUCAAGUAGGCCAGCUGCAUGGUAUUCUGGACUUACAAUGUGCAGGGCAGAUGUAGUGUCCCCUUGAAAUACACUUAACGGUGGGCAACAAAAUCCAAAAGCAAACCCCCACAAAUAUCUAACUUAAAAAAAAAGAACUUUCUAGAUCUCAGUCCUCAUCUGGAUACUUCAUUAGGAUCCUGAGACAUCUGGGGACCAGCGAUGGAAAGAAGGAAAGAGACUUCCAUAUGUUGAGAGCCUAUUAUAUGCCUGCAUUGUGCUAAGCCCUUUCCCAUAUGUUAUCCAAUGUAAUCCCCCACAAAAGCCCUGCCAGAGUGGAAUUAUUCUUCUCAUUUUACAAAUAAGAAAACAGUAGCUCGGAGAUGCUAAGUUACUCGCCCAAGGUCACAUAGACGGUGGUUCACAUACAACUAUUAGCAAUUGACAUUCAUAGCUCUUGUACUUCACAGUAUUUUCAUGCCUGGGACUCUGUUUUGAUCCCUGCAAGUACAGUGUUAUGAUACUCCUUUUAUGGAUGAUGAAUUGGAGACACCAAGAGGUUCAGAGCUUCUUCCAAAGUCAUAGAGCCAGUGAGUUGUGAAGACGAGGGGCUCAGUCUUCCGAUUCAUGCAAAGGGUUGAUGUGACAUUUUCAGAGCCUAGUUCUAGCUUCAUUGUGCUGGAAAGUGGUCUUGGCCUGAGGACAGCAGGGUGCUUCAGAGUCCAGUCUGAUGCCCUUUGGCAGCCACACACCCUCCUGUGAAGGCACCACAAAUUCCUUGGGAGGGAGACGCGUUCCAGAUGUGUAUGCCGCCUCUAGAGAAAACGUGGCUUCUUCUGGUGAGCCACAUGCAAGGUGUCUCGCUGGCCACUGUGAAGUGGGGAGAGACGCCUGGAGCAAGCCAUGAUCUCUGCCAGCACUGGAAUCACCAACAUCCUUGAGCUUCCUUCAGUCUGAUGCAGAACCUGAGGACGUGGCCAUCUCUUGGUGGUGUUCUGGGAAAGCAGGAAGUCUUCAGACCUGAUUGUCUUCAGAUUUCAGCCAUGGGCUCCCUGGUGAGCCAUCUCAGGGGUAUAGGAAACAUGGAUGCCGCCCCGGAGGCAGCUCUCAGCGCAAUCUGGGAUCUCAGGGGCUGACAGCAGAGAAGUUACCUGAAGGCGCAACAAGCAGUGGUCCCUGUAGGCAGAAGCUACCUGGUGCCCCAGUGAUGUGGGAGGCCCUCAGUUCCUGCGCUUCUUGCUGCCUGGGCACAUGUUCCCGGAGGAUGGCAGGACCUCCUGGCCUCUCCCCUGUCUACCCGCCAGAGCUCUGCUUCUUAAGAUAAGACCACCUCUUUCCUCCAGCCAAUGUGCUGCUCUUCUGACUUCAAAACACUUGCACUUCCAGGGCUCAACGUACAGUGAGUUCUCAAGGAUUCGGUGAAUAAAUGUACAAAUGUCUCCCGUUACAGCUGCCACAUUCAGUGGGGUAGGUCUUAUGAUCAUUUCUCUGAGGAAGGGUGCUGUGCUCAUGGUCUCAGUCUGCAAAUUGCAGACUGAGAAUCCAACGAAGGCACCUGCUCUCUGCCCCCGCACCCCCCCACCGGCCCCAAGGCUGACCCUCUCCUCCCCUGGUAUCAGCUCGAAGCAUUGUUGGAGUCCCCAGGGACCCGGAUGCUUCCCUGUGUGCCCUGUCUUUGAGGUGCCCGCCAUCUCAAGUCAAGACACACAGCAGGGUGUGAGAGGCCAGGGAGCCCAUGGGAAUUCCAGGGGAUGCUCUCAGCGUGUUUUGUGAGGAACGACUGGCUCACCUAGUCAGGCCUGGGACAAAAUAUCACCUGCUGAAGGAUGAUUGGCUGUGGCGCUGGCCUUGUGCUGGAAGAGGGCCUCUGAGAGCACAGGGAACUGCCCCUGGGCAUUUUCUCACAAUUGUUCCGAGGGUUAGAGGCUGGAUCCCAGGAACCGCGUGUGGCCACUCUGUCCUUCUUCAGAGAGAGAUUCAACUUCCGGAGCCAGGGUCACCCCUAAUGGCUCACUUCCCUUCCUUCCCCUGCCAGGAUUUUCCCCCAGAUUAUCUUGGGGUUGUCUCAGCCCUUACCAUACCUCAUCCUUCCCAGCAGCAGCCCGCCAGCCCCACGCGGAGUGUUCUACUCUUUCCAAAGACAGCCCACAUUUCGGGGUCUCCUGCACCCCCAAAUGUGGGAUUGGUAAGAUGCACGCUUCCUGACUUGGGUUUCUUCUUUCAUUUGCAGUUAAAAACCAUGACCACAAAAGAGACAUCCACAACUCGCUGUAAUAGGCGCUUGCAUAAUAGACGUGGGGACAGUGUUUGGGGGAACAGGAUAGGGUGGCUCUGUUUUUCCAACAGUUGUGAGAUUCAUUUUGGUGAAGUAAGAAGGUUUUACAGGGUCCUCUAAGACAGAAGGGGUUUCCUGGGAAGGAAGCUGGCUUAUCAACCUGCCUCCUCUCGCUCACCUGGUGCUAGCUGCUUACUUUCCACCCUUUGCCCUCUGCUGAAGGGAGAGUUUGAACAUCUUUAGAUUCUUUUCUUUGCUUGGCAAGAUGUGCUGUAUUUAUUCAACUUAGCCUCAAGGUUAAGCACACAGACCCUUGUCAGAAGCCAGACAGCGAGUGUUCAAAUCCCAGCUGUGUCACUUACCAGCUCUGUCACACCUUGGGGAUGUGACUUCACUUGCCUUGAUUUCCUCAUCAGUGAAAUGGGGAUAAUAAUAGUACUUGCCCCAUAAACAGGGAUAAUAGUACUUACCUUAUAUAAUAAGGAUUACAUGUAAACAUUUAAUAUACAUAAAGCUCUUGUUUGUUUGUUUUUAGAGACAGGGUCUCAGUCUGUCAUCCAGGCUGGAGUGCAGUGGCAAGAUGCUAGCUCACUGCAGCCUUGACCUCCUGGGCUCAAGGAAUCUUCCUAUUUCAGCUUCCUGAGUAGCUAGGAGUACAGGUGCAUGCCACCAUACCUGGCUAUUUUUAAAACAUGCUUUUAUAUAGAUGGGGUCUUGCUCUGUUUCCCAGGCUAGUUUUGAACUUCUGGCCUCAAGCACUCCUCCCACCUCAGCCUCCAAAGUAUGGGGAUUAUAGGCAUGAGCCACUGUGCCCAGCCAAACAGCUCUUAAAAUAUACAAAAGCUCUUAAAAUAGUGCCUAGCACAGUGUUUACUAUUGUCACUAUCUACUUGGAUUCUCUGCCUGUUGGUCUCCACUUUGCACAAUUAUUUGUGGACAUUUGAGAUCGUCGAGUUCUCGAGAACCAGUCAGGCUGAUUUACCUCCAAUGUACGUGUAAUAUGUUUUUUUCCUUUUCUGGAACUGAGCAACAUCCUCCAAGUUUGUCCACUCUCCGAGUGUCUUAACUGCCCCCGGUAGAGAGGCAUUUAGCAAACAGAAACAGAUUACAGAGACCCUCGUGGCCACAUGCAAUUUGCAGUUGCUCUCAAGAGUGGGUGUGGUCACUUGUUGUUCCCUUUAGCCAUCAUAUCAGCUGCCUGGGUGAGGGGUCAGUGUGCCAAACGUUCCUGGUGGGAAAUGACUUGGUUUCCCAUAUGAGCCCCGACCUUCACUGGCCUCUCCCUCUUAGAACUCCCAUUAACCACCAUGUGUGCUGGUCACUGCAGCUGAAUCCAUCCACAGGGGCUGCCCAGAAAAAGACAAUGACUUCUGCAGGGCUGGGGAGGCUGUCCUCGUGAAAAUAACUGAAUCUACCCGAGUGUGUGGCCUGUGCUGGGGAAACGUGGGUGACUUGAAUGAUGUCAGGCAAUCAGUGCAAUUGAAAUAUGUCAAAAAUGGCUCCAUCAACGCACCCGGCUCAUAUUUAGCUAUAAAAUGUGAGGCCAGGUUACGAACCGGAAGCAUUUCUUUCAACCAAAGUCAUUUGGAAAGGAAUAUCUUUGACACAUCCUUGCUGCCCCUUCCCCCAUUGCGGUGUCCCUGGCUGUGUGGCUGGCAGCCUGGCUCUUGGUGAGUCGCAGCUGCACCUGUGCCCACCUUCUCACCACGGGAGUAGGUGCUUCUCCUUUGGGCACCUUCUGGCUUUGCACCGUAAAAGUGAAAUACGGUGUGGUCCUGCAAGCUGCUUCUCCAGUGAUGUGAAAAGCGUAAGAGAGAGGCUCUGGGAAGGGGCAGAUGCUGCAGGUGCAAUGAUGCCAGCUGUUGAGGACGGUGCCCUGUGCCUGGGGAAGUACAUGCUGUAACUGGAGCUCCACCUUGGUACCCCACCGCUGGACCCUCCAAAGAGAGCUCUGACAUGUAUGAAGUUUCAUAUACUCAAUUCCUUUACCGCUGGACUUGUGAGAAUUGUAUGAGGAAGGCCACUUUGAGGAUCAUAUUCAUGCUGGCAAUAAUGACAUGAAAAGCAACAGUAAUAGUAGCAACUAUCGUCAAGGUCCCAUAGGUACCAGUUUUCAUGCUUAACAGCACAACCAUCUCAUCCCUGGAACCAAGCAUCCCUGGAACCAAGCAAGAUCAGUGCUGUUGAUCUUCAUUUUGCAAUUGAGGUAACGGAGGCUCAGUUAACUUAAGUAACUUGUCAGGGGUACAAAGUAAGUAUAAGUGGCUGAGCUGUGAUUCAGAUCCAGGCCCAUCUGAUGCGAUAGCUCAUUCUUUUCUCCAUGACAUCAGGAGGCCUCCUCCUCCCUUGUGUUGCUCAGAGUUCUGAUAAGAAUCAGAUUUCUAGGUGAAUCACAAGAAGGUGACUAUUCUGGUUAGAUAACGGGAGAAUGGGCCCCAUCAUGGCAACAGACUCCUAAGACUCAUACAUCACAAGAAAGGGCUCCCUACAGCUUUGACACUAGGGUGCUUCUCUGUGCACCUCCUUGCUCCCCUCCCAUGAGAAGGACUGUCUUUCAUCCUCAUAGCUAUUAUUUUUGAAACAUCAGUUUUAAUUUGGGGCACCCGCUCUCUUCGGGAGAUUGCAAAAAUUAAAUCGUUUUUAAGCAACCCAACAACACUUCUGGGGUUUGUAAUAAACUUGUGAAAUUUGCGGAACUUGGUGGUUGAGGUUCUCUCCGUCCUACUUCCCUGGGGCCCCGAGGAGCUUUCGAGUUGGUUCUUCAUGCCCUCUUGUUUGGAGCUGCUUUUGUCAACUGGGCCCAGCUACUGCGUCUUGGACCAAGGAGGCGAUGAGCCCUGAAACAGUCCAGGGUCUCUAGGAGAGCAACUCCCAAACCAUGUUUCUGGCCCUGCCUUCCCUCUGUUAUUCUGGGGAAAAAACUGACCCUACGUGGGUGGGAGGUCCCAUCUACAGAGACCAGCCUUGUUUGUUUCCAUAGGAUUUGACUACUGAGGGGCACGAAAAUACAUAGCCAACUUCCCCUUGCAGAGUUCACUGUCUCCCCUUCCAGCAGAUGACUCCAGGAUCCUUGGAAGCAUAGGAACACACCCCAGUUGAUGACACUGUUUCCUCUCCUCUGCAGAAGAAGAUCCUCUCCACUCACAGGAAACAGCAGCAAGAUGGUUUCCAGGCACCAGCUGUCACUGGGCUUGUACUGUUACAGUCCAAGCUGAGCACGCAAGGCAGGGUGUGUUUCUGGCUCCCCAUAGCUGAAAGCUCAACUUCAUGUGGUCAGGUCUUGGAUGGCGUCAAGGCCUGUAGGGUGAACAGAACUCUCUGAGUCACCUUUCCCUGCUGUUCAGGGCCUUGAUAUAACAGACAGGGCCAUUGGCUCCACAGGGGCAUGGUGGGGAAGAAGGGUCCAGGAAGGCACUUUGCCUUUGUGUCUUGUCCUUGGUAUUUGGAGGGCAACACCCCUGUAUUUUUCUAAUCCUAUUAGCUAAGAAUCUGGAACCUGGGCCAGAGGCCUGGGUUCUAACACUAUCUCCACCGUUUCCCAACCAUGGAUACACCCUAUACUUUCCCUCGUCUGUACAGUGGAGCUAAUAAUAGUACCUAACUCAUGGAACUAUCAUGAGUCUUAAAUGAGUGUUAACACGCAUGAAGUGAAGUGCUUAUAUCUGGCAGAUAGUAAAUGUGUAUUAUCAAUUUAAUUUACACUAUUAUUUGACUGUAUUUCUACUAUACAGAGCAACUAUUGCCUGGUCAUAUGUCCUAACAAAUAAACUGUGGAGACAGACAAGUAACUGUCUCAGUGCUAAGGACACCACUGACCCUCAACAGAAUAAUGCCCCCUAAAGAUGUGUAGACCCUAAUCCCCGGAAUCUGGGAAUGUGUUAGGUUACACGGCAAAGGCAAAGGAAGGUUGCAGGAGGAGCUGAGGCUGCAAAUCAGCUGACCUUACAGUGGGAAGAGAAGCCUGAGUUCUCCAGGUGAGACCAAUGUCCAGCAUCCUGGCUGAGCCUGCUCCCUUUACAAACAAGGUUAGGAUUUAUAACUGCUUUCAUGGUAACAUCUGGCUCAUUUCUCUCAAGUUCCCCCAACUCUUUUUUUUUUUUUAGUAUACAAAUCUUUAUUCUAAAGUCAUUUCAUUUCGGCUCAAUUCCUUCUCUCUCUCUUUCUACCUGUUUGUUUGGCCUUUGGAGAUUGAGAAUGAGAAGUAACAGGACUCAUUACCCACAGCUAGUCACAAGAGGAGACAGAGGGAGAGUGAAUGCAAAAGAAAGGUACCAGAGAGGCCACCUUGCUGGCUGUCAAGGUGGAGUAAAGAGGCCACAAGCCAAGGGGUGUAGGCGGCCUGGUCUCUUCUGCAGCUGCUUUUUAAAACUCUAGGACUUUCUUCCACCAACAAAUUCUUUAGGUUUUAUCAGAGUUAGGAGGCAGUUAGCAUCUGCAACAAUAGAAAGAAUAUGUAUUAUUUGGAAUGCUUGUGUGGCUUAUACAGCUCCCAACCAGUUCGGGAGUCUUAACACAUUGUGCUAAAAGAUGCUGAAGGCUGGGUUUCCACUUCCCAAACAAUUUCAUUCUCUAAGAAAACUGCCGAUAAAGAUAAAAAACAUUACAGCCAAAUGGAGUCUUGCCUGAAUCCCAGGCCCUGCCACAUCGACCGCUGGUUCUAUCAGUGGCCAGUGUUCUGGAAACGCUUCCCCGACAUCAAGGAAGCCGGAUCCUCCCCACACAGUGAUGGGUUCUAGGCCAUUUUUGCUGCCUCGGUCUGGGAGCUCACCAUCCUCAGAAGCUCCCAGCACCUGGAGAUGUCUCGCAUCCUGGCUGAGCCUGCUCCCUUUAGCAAACAAGGUCAGGAUUUGUAACUGCUUUUGUGGCAACAUCUGGCUUAUUU
rnacentral:lncRNA from 1 species